rnacentral:rRNA from 1 species
AGAGUUUGAUCAUGGCUCAGAACGUACGCUGGCGGCACGCCUAACACAUGCAAGUCGAACGCAGUAGCAAUACUGAGUGGCAGACGGGUGAGUAACAUGUGGGAAUCUGCCUUGUGGUUCAGGACAACAUUGGGAAACUGAUGCUAAUACUGGAUAAGCCCUUACGGGGAAAGUUUUAAUGCCAUAAGAUGAGCCCGCAUUUGAUUAGUUAGUUGGUGAGGUAAUGGCUCACCAAGACAAUGAUCAAUAGCUGAUCUGAGAGGAUGAUCAGCCACACUGGGACUGAGACACGGCCCAGACUCCUACGGGAGGCAGCAGUGGGGAAUCUUGCACAAUGGAGGAAACUCUGAUGCAGCGAUGCCGCGUGAGUGAAGAAGGCCUUUGGGUUGUAAAGCUCUUUUGUAGGGGAAGAUAAUGACUGUACCCUAAGAAUAAGGUCCGGCUAACUUCGUGCCAGCAGCCGCGGUAAUACGAAGGGACCUAGCGUAGUUCGGAAUUACUGGGCGUAAAGCGCGCGUAGGCCGUUGAGUUAGUUAAUUGUGAAAUCCCAAAGCUUAACUUUGGAACUGCAAUUAAAACUGCUCGACUAGAGUUUGAUAGAGGAAAGCGGAAUACAUAGUGUAGAGGUGAAAUUCGUAGAUAUUAUGUAGAACACCGGUUGCGAAGGCGGCUUUCUGGAUCAACACUGACGCUGAGGCGCGAAAGUAUGGGUAGCAAAGAGGAUUAGAUACCCUCGUAGUCCAUACCAUAAACGAUGAUUGCUAGAUGUUGGAAAUUUAUUUUCAGUAUCGCAGCUAACGCAUUAAGCAAUCCGCCUGGGGAGUACGACCGCAAGGUUAAAACUCAAAUGAAUUGACGGGGACCCGCACAAGCGGUGGAGCAUGUGGUUUAAUUCGACGCAACGCGCAGAACCUUACCAGCUCUUGACAUGGGGAGUAUGGGAUCGAGCGAUUGAUCCCUUCAGUUCGGCUGGCUCCCACACAGGUGCUGCAUGGCUGUCGUCAGCUCGUGUCGUGAGAUGUUGGGUUAAGUCCCGCAACGAGCGCAACCCUUACCUAUAGUUGCCAGCGAGUAAUGUCGGGAACUCUAUAGGGACUGCCCGGGUUAACCGGGAGGAAGGUGGGGAUGAUGUCAAGUCCUCAUGGCCCUUAUGUCCAGGGCUACACACGUGCUACAAUGGCCGACACAAACCGCUGCAGAAUCGUAAGAUGAAGCUAAUCGGAGAAAAUCGGCCUCAGUUCGGAUUGAGGUCUGCAACUCGACCUCAUGAAGUUGGAAUCGCUAGUAAUCGUAUAUCAGAACGAUACGGUGAAUACGUUCCCGGGCCUUGUACACACCGCCCGUCACAUCACGAAAGCCGGAAGCACUUGAAGAGGCUGUGGUAACCGCAAGGAGCUAGGUCUCAAUGGUGAAUUUGGUGAUUGGGGUGAAGUCGUAACAAGGUAGCCGUA